UGCACAUGGCGGGUGCUAUAAUGCAGUCGAACGCAUUGUGGUUGAAAUGAUAUGAAGAACUUGUUCAGAUUUGAUUUUCAACAUUGCAAUGAGUGGCGAACGGGUGAGUAACACGUGGGAAACCUACCUCUUAGCAGGGGAUAACAUUUGGAAACAAAUGCUAAUACCGUAUAAUAAUUAAAACCGCAUGGUUUUAGUUUAAAAGAUGGUCUUGCUAUCACUAAGAGAUGGUCCCGCGGUGUAUUAGUUAGUUGGUGAGGGUAAUGACUCACCAAGACAAUGAUACAUAGCCGAGUUGAGAGACUGACCGGCCACAAUGGGACUGAGACACGGCCCAUACUCCUACGGGAGGCAGCAGUAGGGAAUCUUCCACAAUGGACGAAAGUCUGAUGGAGCAACGCCGCGUGUGUGAUGAAGGGUUUCGGCUCGUAAAACACUGUUGUAAGAGAAGAAUGACAUUGAGAGUAACUGUUCAAUGUGUGACGGUAUCUUACCAGAAAGGAACGGCUAAAUACGUGCCAGCAGCCGCGGUAAUACGUAUGUUUCAAGCGUUAUCCGGAUUUAUUGGGCGUAAAGCGAGCGCAGACGGUUAUUUAAGUCUGAAGUGAAAGCCCUCGGCUCAACCGAGGAAUUGCUUUGGAAACUGGAUAACUUGAGUGCAGUAGAGGAAAGUGGAACUCCAUGUGUAGCGGUGAAAUGCGUAGAUAUAUGGAAGAACACCAGUGGCGAAGGCGGCUUUCUGGACUGUAACUGACGUUGAGGCUCGAAAGUGUGGGUAGCAAACAGGAUUAGAUACCCUGGUAGUCCACACUGUAAACGAUGAGUGCUAGUUGUUCGAGGGUUUCCGCCCUUGAGUGACGAAGCUAACGCAUUAAGCACUCCGCCUGGGGAGUACGACCGCAAGGUUGAAACUCAAAGGAAUUGACGGGGACCCGCACAAGCGGUGGAGCAUGUGGUUUAAUUCGAAGCAACGCGAAGAACCUUACCAGGUCUUGACAUCCUUUGACCACUCCAGAGAUGGAGCUUUCCCUUCGGGGACAAAGUGACAGGUGGUGCAUGGUUGUCGUCAGCUCGUGUCGUGAGAUGUUGGGUUAAGUCCCGCAACGAGCGCAACCCUUAUUGUUAGUUGCCAGCAUUUAGUUGGGCACUCUAGCAAGACUGCCGGUGACAAACCGGAGGAAGGCGGGGAUGACGUCAAAUCAUCAUGCCCCUUAUGACCUGGGCUACACACGUGCUACAAUGGCAAGUACAACGAGUCGCCAACCCGCGAGGGUGCGCAAAUCUCUUAAAGCUUGUCUCAGUUCGGACUGUAGGCUGCAACUCGCCUACACGAAGUCGGAAUCGCUAGUAAUCGCGGAUCAGCACGCCGCGGUGAAUACGUUCCCGGGUCUUGUACACACCGCCCGUCACACCAUGAGAGUUUGUAACACCCAAAGUCGGUGAGGUAACCUUUUAUUAGGAGCCAGCCGCCUAAUGGUGACAGAGUAUGC
rnacentral:rRNA from 1 species